UACGUAGGGUGCGAGCGUUGUCCGGAAUUAUUGGGCGUAAAGAGCUCGUAGGCGGCCUAUUGCGUCUGCUGUGAAAGCCCGGGGCUUAACCCCGGGUCUGCAGUGGAUACGGGCAGGCUAGAGUUCGGCAGGGGAGACUGGAAUUCCCGGUGUAGCGGUGAAAUGCGCAGAUAUCGGGAGGAACACCAAUGGCGAAGGCAGCUUGCUGGGACGGUACUGACGCUGAGACACGAAAGCUAGGGGAGCAAACAGG
rnacentral:rRNA from 1 species